rnacentral:rRNA from 1 species
GACGAACGCUGGCGGCGUGCCUAAUACAUGCAAGUUGAGCGAUGAAGAUUGGUGCUUGCACCAAUUUGAAGAGCAGCGAACGGGUGAGUAACGCGUGGGGAAUCUGCCUUUGAGCGGGGGACAACAUUUGGAAACGAAUGCUAAUACCGCAUAACAACUUUAAACAUAAGUUUUAAGUUUGAAAGAUGCAAUUGCAUCACUCAAAGAUGAUCCCGCGUUGUAUUAGCUAGUUGGUGAGGUAAAGGCUCACCAAGGCGAUGAUACAUAGCCGACCUGAGAGGGUGAUCGGCCACAUUGGGAAUGAGACACGGCCCAAACUCCUACGGGAGGCAGCAGUAGGGAAUCUUCGGCAAUGGACGAAAGGCUGACCGAGCAAAGCCGCGGGAGUGAAGAAGGUUUUCGGAUCGUAAAACUCUGUUGGUAGAGAAGAACGUUGGUGAGAGUGGAAAGCUCAUCAAGUGACGGUAACUACACAGAAAGGGACGGCUAACUACGUG